ACCACUAAAACUUCUUUCCUGUGA
rnacentral:siRNA from 1 species